GACAUAGGUGGCGAACGUUAUCCGGAAUUAUUGGGCGUAAAGGAUGCGUAGAUGGUAGAAUAAGUUACUGGUCGAUGCCAAACUCAAUUUGACGGAAGCUGGUAAUACUGUUCUGCUCGAGGACAGGAGAGGUUGAUGGAAUUCUGUGUGGAGCGGUGAAAUGCGUUGAUCUACAGAGGAACACCAAAAAAGGCGAAGGCAGUCAACUAGUCUGUUCCUGACAUUGAGGCAUGAAAGCGUGGGGAGCAAACCGG
rnacentral:rRNA from 1 species